rnacentral:rRNA from 1 species
UAUAGAGUCUCAAGCGUUGUUCGGAUUCAUUGGGCGUAAAGGGUGCGUAGGCGGCGCGGUAAGUCGGGUGUGAAAUUUCGAGGCUUAACUCCGAAACUGCAUUCGAUACUGCCGUGCUUGAGGACUGGAGAGGAGACUGGAAUUCAUGGUGUAGCAGUGAAAUGCGUAGAGAUCAUGAGGAAGACCAGUGGCGAAGGCGGGUCUCUGGACAGUUCCUGACACUGAGGCACGAAGGCCAGGGGAGCAAACGGG